rnacentral:lncRNA from 10 species
AUUUGUUGACAUUAAUUGAAUGUGCUAGACACUGUUCUAAGCACUGUAGAUAUACUCAUUUCAUUGAAUCCUUGAACUACUCCUCUGAGGUGGGUGUCAUUAUUAUCCUCAUUGUGUAGAUGGAAAAAUUAAAACAUAGUGGAGUCUUCCAGUCUUCUAUGUGGUAGACUUGGUUCCUGGGCUUCGCUUCUUCCAAGAAGGCAUGUUCUUUUGCUGAGCCUAACAGUGUGGGUGUCCUUAAGGACCAGGACUGACUUGUCUCAGGAAUCGUCUAGGCCAUUCCCAUGCCCCAGGAGAGCCCAUGGGCUGUCUUAGGCAGAGGAACAGGGGGCUUUUCCUCAGUCAAGGUGACCUUGACUUCAGCUUGAUCGACAUAUAGACCAUCAACCUCUUCAGCUGUUUCCCUAUCUCUUGGACCAGUUUUUUGGUCUUCACAAAGCUGGACCUUGUAAAUACCUAAUAUUCUACCAUCCUAAAGGGGUUCAGAAAGGAGAUCAAUGAACAUCGGUCUUCCACAUAUGCCCUGUGAAACUGUUGAGGCUGAGAAAUGCCCUGGCCAUUUUCAGGAUCUAAUGGGCAGAACAUGCAUGACCUGGACAUUCUAUUCCUCAGUUGCCUGAAAAACAGUGACCCAUACUGUGAGCUGACAUUUUCUGAUUUAAUUUCAAAUAGUGCCACCCCUGGGCCAGCAUGAAGAUUUGCAUUUUUGAAGCCAAAUGGUGAGACUCUGGUCUGAGAACUCUCUAACCAAGAUAUCCACCUGAUUCCAAAGCAUUCGGAGGCCCUGAGAAAAGCAAUUCCCAGAAUCCACUGAUGCUUAGCAAUGCUUCAACUCCACCUUUGGGUUUCAUAUCCCCAGUGUCAAAGCUUCUCCUCAAAAGGGUCCCUUUGGCCCUCAUUCUGGCAGAGCCCCCUUGAUGGUAAGUGGGUCAGAUCAGGCGUUAUUCUUGAGUCCUUCAGGAUGGAUGCAUAAUCUGGGCUGAUAUUGCUUAGUGAGUAGGAGGAGGGUUGAAGUCUGGGUCCCUCUUAGCAGAGGAGAUUUAAAAAAUCUUGGAUCUAUCAUAAAAUCAAUUUUCUUUUUCCCUUUCUGGCUUUAUAUUUGAUUUCAGGUUUCCUUUAGUUUUUUCCCCCCAUUUAAACUCAUUUUACACAUUUCUUUCUGCUUUUUACUUGAGGCCUUUACCUCUGAUUAUAGUCCUCCACCAGA